AGUGGCGGACGGGUGAGUAACGCGUAAGAAUCUAACUUCAGGACGGGGACAACAGUGGGAAACGACUGCUAAUACCCGAUGUGCCGCGAGGUGAAACCUAAUUGGCCUGAAGAAGAGCUUGCGUCUGAUUAGCUAGUUGGUGGGGUAAGAGCCUACCAAGGCGACGAUCAGUAGCUGGUCUGAGAGGAUGAGCAGCCACACUGGGACUGAGACACGGCCCAGACUCCUACGGGAGGCAGCAGUGGGGAAUUUUCCGCAAUGGGCGAAAGCCUGACGGAGCAACGCCGCGUGAGGGAGGAAGGUCUUUGGAUUGUAAACCUCUUUUCUCAAGGAAGAAGUUCUGACGGUACUUGAGGAAUCAGCCUCGGCUAACUCCGUGCCAGCAGCCGCGGUAAUACGGGGGAGGCAAGCGUUAUCCGGAAUUAUUGGGCGUAAAGCGUCCGCAGGUGGUCAGCCAAGUCUGCCGUCAAAUCAGGUUGCUUAACGACCUAAAGGCGGUGGAAACUGGCAGACUAGAGAGCAGUAGGGGUAGCAGGAAUUCCCAGUGUAGCGGUGAAAUGCGGAGAGAUUGGGAAGAACAUCGGUGGCGAAAGCGUGCUACUGGGCUGUAUCUGACACUCAGGGACGAAAGCUAGGGGAGCGAAAGGGAUUAGAUACCCCUGUAGUCCUAGCCGUAAACGAUGGAUACUAGGCGUGGCUU
rnacentral:rRNA from 1 species